ACUGCACGCCGGAGUAAUUUGAUUUUGGUUGUUCAUUGGAGUUGGAUUUAUCGGAGAAAGUAGAACUGGCUCUGGUAAUGCUAUAACGAAAAUUAUAGUUGUUAGUGGGAGAGAAGAAAAAUUGUGACGGUGAAGUUCGGAAGUGAAAUUGGAAUGCUUUUGUUGCUGUGGAAAUACCGCAACAACAUCCACAUGAGGGAUUAAAGGAUAACAUUUCAAUUCAACUCAAUUCAAUAUACUACUUGUCCAUCGCUUUUCACACUAGAGCUUCCGCGGCUUUCAAAUGAAAACUCUUUAUAUUAGGUGAUGUUUUCUCUCCUCCCCAAUAUUAGACUAAAAAACCAAUUUUUAGCUAUCG
rnacentral:lncRNA from 1 species